rnacentral:lncRNA from 1 species
AUGCUACUGAUCAGGCUUUCUGUGUCUCUUUUUUCUAGGCUAGAAAAUAUUAACCCUGAAGAAAAUGACAUGACAUUACAGGAAUUACUGAACAGAAUAAACAAUGCAGACACAGGGAUAGCUAUUCAGAAGAAUGGAGCUAUAAUUGUGGAUAGAAUCUACAAGACCAAGGAAUGUAAAAAGAGAAUAACUGCAGAAGAAAUGAAUGCUGUGAUAGAAGAACGGGAUGCUGCUUUGUUUCAGGUAAUUCUGCAUGUAUCCUGAAAAGCAUAUACUU